AUGCUACCACUACCCGUCCACCUGUCCUUCAUGCGCGGCCACUACUGGGCGGGCAUGAAGGCCAACUGGAUCGUCCUCAUCCACCACUCCGGUAGUCCGUGGCAUCUCGUGGAUAUCUACACCCAGCGAGAGAUCACCCUUCCAUCGUUGGAUACCGCCGCCAUCGAGCCACGCGGCCCGCCGGACACUCCUGCCUACUACGCACGAGACACUUUGAAGCACUCCCCUGGUUUGAAGGAUAGAUACCUUCCUGGGAUCAAGUGCAUCCUAACUCACCUGCUACCAUAUAACUGGAAUUACCGAUGCAAGUCGAAGAAGGAUUGGUCGGUGCUGCCGGCUGGCGUCAAGUUCGAUCCCACGGAUCAGGAGCCGAUCGAGCACCUUGAGGCCAAAGUGAGUGCUGACAGCGCGAGAUUUCAGUCUCUCAUCAAUUUGUUCAUACCAACCAUCGACAGCGAACACGACAUAUGCUACACCCAACCUGAGAAACUUCCAGCAAAAAAGGUUCUGGUGCUGCACACCAACGAGAACUUCGACCAGCAGAGGACCAACUGGGUGAUGCACCAGUACCACCUCGGGGACCUGGAGCAAGAGAAGGAGCGGGAGCUGGCCCAGCCCAUGACGACAACGGGGCACCAAGAUCCAGCAGGUAUCUACUGGCCUCUUGCCCGCCAGCAUUAG
rnacentral:rRNA from 1 species